GGGAGGCACCGGGGGCGGCGGGGCGAGACGGAGAGGCGGCGGCGGCGGGAGGUCGGGCACAAUCAAAGGCCUCGUUUGGCAGGAGAGUUUGGAACGGUUUUUGGGUGUAUCUAUUACCUCGCGUAGGCCCCCGCCGUUUGGCGGGCAGGUUUUGGCCGGGCGGCCAGUCCUGACUAUUCCUUCUCCCAUUCUAGCCGAGGCCACUCAUCCGCACCCGACGCCGCCUCAGCACCUUGCGCCGCCCGUGUUCUCCCGUUGAAAAGGCUUUCGGAGAUAAGUUAAUGCUAAUGACUCUUACAGAGAUCAGUUAAUGCUAAUGACCCCUGCAUUUGCGAGCACCAGGAAGAUUACAAAUAUUAUCCCUCAACAGCUAGGUCAGUUAAGGAGACCAAGAUGCUAUCCUUUGGACAGUUUCAUAGUGUCAAAAGAAAGGCAGGGGCCAAGCAAGAAUGCAAGUCCAAAGCAAGUCUGGGAACAAAUGGAAACCAGCAAAACCCCACAAACCCGUGCAUCGAAGAUACCUUCUCAACACAUUAUAGUGUUCAGUUGGCGCAGCGAAGUGAUCACACCGACCACCGCAUAGCCUCCGCCGAGCCCCCCGCGUCCAUCUGUACACCGCCGCACCUUCUUAUGUACCCAAGCUAACAGAAGGUAAAGCCACCACGCCCCUGAUCCAGCCUCUGCCUUGUUAUGUGUGCUUGUGACCGGAGUGUAAAUAAGUUUUUAUUUGAAUUACUAUGAUCAGCCUUACCAUUGUUGUGUAAACAGAAUUUUCGGUUGUGGAACUAUCCCUGCCUUCCAAACGCAUAAAUCAAAUUUUGUUCUAGCCAUCACUCAA